CUCGUAGGCGGCCAACUAAGUCACACGUGAAAUCCCUCGGCUUAACCGGGGAACUGCGUCUGAUACUGGAUGGCUUGAGUUCGGGAGAGGGAUGCGGAAUUCCAGGUGUAGCGGUGAAAUGCGUAGAUAUCUGGAGGAACACCGGUGGCGAAGGCGGCAUCCUGGACCGAUACUGACGCUGAGGAGCGAAAGCCAGGGGAGCAAACG
rnacentral:rRNA from 1 species